GCUGGGCGCGGUGGCGCGUGCCUGUAGUCCCAGCUACUCGGGAGGCUGAGGCCGGAGGAUCGCUUGAGUCCAGGAGUUCUGGGCUGUCAUGCGCUAUGCCGAUCGGGUGUCCGCACUAAGUUCGGCAUCAAUAUGGUGACCUCCCGGGAGCAGGGGACCACCAGGUUGCCUAAGGAGGGGUGAACCGGCCCAGGUCGGAAACGGAGCAGGUCAAAACUCCCGUGCUGAUCAGAGUCUGAACUGCCAUUGUAAAACCCAGUGCCUGAUAGAGCCCAAAGCCCUGUACCCCAAGUCCAGUGAU
ensembl:misc_RNA Metazoa_SRP Metazoan signal recognition particle RNA